UAGGGAAUCUUCGGCAAUGGACGAAAGUCUGACCGAGCAACGCCGCGUGAGUGAAGAAGGUUCUCGGAUCGUAAAACUCUGUUGUUAGAGAAGAACAAGGACGUUAGUAACUGAACGUCCCCUGACGGUAUCUAACCAGAAAGCCACGGCUAACUACGUGCCAGCAGCCGCGGUAAUACGUAGGUGGCAAGCGUUGUCCGGAUUUAUUGGGCGUAAAGCGAGCGCAGGCGGUUUCUUAAGUCUGAUGUGAAAGCCCCCGGCUCAACCGGGGAGGGUCAUUGUAAACUGGGAGACUUGAGUGCAGAAGAGGGGAGUGGAAUUCCAUGUGUAGCGGUGAAAUGCGUAGAUAUAUGGGGGAACACCAGUGGCGAAGGCGGAUCUCUGGUCUGUAACUGACGCUGAGGCUCGAAAGCGUGGGGAGCAAACAGG
rnacentral:rRNA from 1 species